CCCCGGCAGUCAUUGAUAGGUUUCAUUGGUUUAUCUGGAAACUCCCCACUCCCCUACUACUUCGCUUACAAACCCUGGAAUCCCUUCUUCUCUUCUCUCCCAUCUCUCUCUCUCUAGCGACGACAUAAGCACUUCCAAAAAAAGAUCAAUGCAAUUUUGAUAGUUGCACCGCAACAAUCGAACCCUAAUCGAACAACCAUUGCUCUCGCUUUGAUGACUCUAGCAAUUCGAUUUGUUCUAUUUCACAUGACCAGUGAUGGAUAGAUUCUACGGUGGUGGUAUGAAUGGUUUAAGAGGUGAGAGAACUCCACUGAUUAACAAAAAGGUUGUUUACAGGGUUUGGGGAGAAAUGAUGAGCAGUGGGAUCCUGAACUUGGAGAUGCAGUACCGGCUACAUCUUUACUUAGAAGUGCUUUAUCGAGAAGAAUUAAUGUCAGCCGAUCAAUCAUCUAAAACUCAUGAACUUUUUAGAGUUACAGAACUUCUUCAACUUCAGAUUCAGAUAACAAAGACGAUGAAAUAUACACAUUGGCCGGUGCUCUUGAAAACAUUAUAUAGCAAUUUCAGAUUGAGAGUCUUGAGCUGAAACAUAUUGUUGAUGAGCUGAGGGCAGAGACAAGGUUACUUAAGGAAAAUGCUGAAGCUCAAGCAAAGGAGCUUAUGCAAAGAAGAGAACAGGUUGAUGAAUUUAUAGAAAAGGAGAGUGGCCGCCACUGAAGAUGUAAGUUACAUAUUUGUGAUCAUACAUUUUAUACCUUUAUUGCUCUAUUUUUGUGUGAAAAAAAUGCAAGAUGUGGCUCUUCAUAACAACAAAUAUUGUUUGCCUUGUCUUGCCCUGACCACAAGGAGCUCACAUGCUUCUUUUUGGUUGCCUACCGGACGUUUCCCAUCUUGGUUUUAAAAAGCAUGUGGCACUAAUUAUUUAUAGAAAGGAUGGAAGUUUUGAACAAAAGUGUAACCACGUACCAAAAAUACCCGUUACAUGACCCACCAUCCGCUUCCUGUUCAUUUUGCCACCUCUAAUAUGUAGCUGUGAAGUAAGGUACAAGAGUUUAUGUUUUUGUUUUAAAAGCUUAAAGUUGGUUUUGAUUUUGGCACACAUUAUUUUGUACUACAUGCCUUGGAUGAAUGGACGUAAUUGCUACGCGUAUGAAGAGUUAUCAAAAGCGAGCGCUUUUGGCGCCUAGACGCUUUUUAUGGGCGAUUCGCAUUUACUGCGCUUAUAGUUCCCAGGGGGUAGGGUUGAAUUUUCUUCUCACAGUGAGCAUUCAUAGGAUGGGAUUAUUUCAGAGAUGCCAUGUUAUCUCCCUAAAUGUCAUAUGUUUGUACUUGGUGCUUAAAAGACGAAAUCUUGUGCUGCUGAGAGAAACGUUUUUUAAACAAAAUGGUGGAAUAAUGUUGCAACAACGAAUAUCUACAGAUGGGGGUUCUUAUGAUCAAGCAAGAGUCUCACUAUAGAGGAGCUAAAGAUGGCAACCAAUACCUAUGAUGAGAGAAGGAUUAUUGGUAUAAAAUAUCAGUAACCCUAUUUCCGACUUCUCUUCCAUUAGCCAUCGUCUCCUCCAUUAGCGGUCGCCUUGGUGGUAGCUGGCGGUGUAAACUGAUUGUUAUUGGUCCGAGCUCUUGAUGAUAGACUGUUCUUCGUCCGGUUACUGAUCACCCGAGGGUGGUCAAGAACAAUGAACAGCUUCGAUUUCGCAGAUCGCCAGUCACAGCUUGCAGCAAUUGGCCGUGUCACUUCGCCGGUUUUCUUCGAUAGUUAUGUCAUUUAUAACAGAAUGGAUGUGGUGUACAGAGGGGCCUCUGCGACGACGUACAAAGUGAUUGUGGAUUUAGUUAGUAAUUUGACAUAUUUUUUUUCUUCAUUUUAUGGAAUUCUUAGGUGGAAAAUCCAACACGGAUGUUUAUGUGUAUGGAAUUGGUUGUUGAGUCAUGUUUAUACAAUAUGAUGCUGGAUGGUGUGAACCUAGAAAAGGAUAGAAUGAUGGAAACAACUGGAACACAGAGGAUUUGGGUGAUGGUAAGGAUGAAAGCCAAAAGUGGAUAUUAAGUCUUAGUUCCAAAGGUGGGACCAGCAACACUACUCUCUUUAGCCAGUGGAUGCAAGCAAGUAUUUUUGGUUGGUGAUUAUGUUCACUUGCCAGCAAUGGUUAUUUCUCAUGUUGCUGAGAAGUUUGGUUAAGAACUUGAUGAGCGAGUAUAACAUUUACUAUCAUUCUUUUGGGUAACUUCUAGCUUUAACCUCAUUUAUGUGUACUACAAUUACCGCAUGAGCCUGUUUAAAAAGCUUAUAUGGGAUAUACGGUGCAGAUGCUUAUAUGAGUAAUUUUUAUUGUGUU